UACGUAGGGUGCAAGCGUUGUCCGGAAUUAUUGGGCGUAAAGAGCUCGUAGGCGGUCUGUCGCGUCUGCUGUGAAAACCUGGGGCUUAACCCCGGGCCUGCAGUGGGUACGGGCAGACUAGAGUGUGGUAGGGGGAGAGUGGAAUUCCUGGUGUAGCGGUGAAAUGCGCAGAUAUCAGGAGGAACACCGGUGGCGAAGGCGCCCACUCUGGGCCACGACUGACGCUGAGGAGCGAAAGCAUGGGUAGCAAACAGG
rnacentral:rRNA from 1 species